GGGUCUUUACGGUGAGACAUUAUGAUGUCACACCAAUUGGGAGCAUAUGGAGUUGGGUGUGUGUGAUGCCAUUCAGCUAGUGGAGUGAUGGGGCAUCUAAAUAUUGAUUGCCUAGGACAGCAAAAAUCCUUGCACCAGACCUGAUGGAAACCAAAUAAAAAGACAAGGGUAUUUAUUAUAUAAAUAACCAACAGCAAAAACCAGAAUUUAAUAUAUACAACCUGUAUAUUGAUGUGUAUAAAUAGGAGCCCUCCAGGUAGAGUAGAGGUCUCUAGAAAUGGCAAAAUAAACUGCACAUAGUGUAAUACAGUAUAACACAUCAAGUAGAUGGUAAUGUAUAAACAUACACUCACAAGGAUAAGAGAUUUUCAAGCUUGUCUCCCCAUCAGCGGUAUGUUUACUUAACUGUUUUCUUUGAUGAUCAAUGCACCUUUUAAGAUGUAGAAACAGAAAACAGCAAAAUGAUG